UGCAGUACGCUUUCGGAUGUUCUAGUGAAAAUGCUCAUGACGGAUAUUGUCCUUGCAGGAUCCCGACGUCUGCUUUCGUUUGAGGCCCACCAGUUGGAAGAUCAUCCAGUGUUCCUCUCCACGUUUGCCAUCCUCCCAACGUCCCCCUCGGGAGAUGGCCUAGAUCACCACUCGUACUGGGGCCAACGCUCUUUAAUUUACAUUCGUUCACCCAUGGCGUCCUGUUGGCAGUCGGAACCUUGCCCCCUCGCCCGCCACUACUGAUGACCGUUUUUGACGGCGGUGAGCGAGGAGGACAUGCGAGGCAGAGUUGCCAAAAGAUCAGAUGCUUUUGAGCAACAAUCGUUCCACGUCUGUGCACGUUUGCACAUCGGCUGGCAACUGGACAUCCAAGUCUGAGCGUGGCCAUGAACCCAGGACCUACGCGGCAACCCCUCGUCACGGCUAGCGUCGUCCUCUACGAGCUUCGCAUCGAGCGUCCUAAACGCUCACGAGGCAUUUAUAUUUGCUUUGUUCAUUUUUCUGGAUGGUCUAGCUGGCGAGGGUGGCGCACGCCUUAGAGAAGUUAACUGUUUGUUCAGUUCCACUAGCUAGCGCUUACUAGGAUGUAUGGCUACAUCACAAGAUCACGUAAAGUUAGUUUUGUUGCUUAGCUGUAAGCCCGAGGUUUCGUGGGCAUGGCGUGCGGCCACACGGGUCUUCUCCGUGCCGGAAUCGAAGAGGACGGGCCACGUGUGUCGCGUGAUGGGGUAUAGCUUCAGGUUUAGCUAUCGCGAAGGCUGUAGCUGAUAGCCGUCCUACUACGACUGCGUCAGGGACAUGGACCCAUCCGUAUGGCCUUGCGACCCGACCCCCACUAUUUCGUGACAAGGUAGCCCGCGCGCGUCAGUGCUAUCGAGCGAAAUGUGGGCUCACGGAAGCAAACGUCAUUCGGAAACUGCCUCGCCAGCUAUCAUGUACUAACCCGCUCUCCGCAGCGCCUCGACGCCGGACGUCGCCUGCUGUGUUCGUCGGAGCCGGGCCGGGCAGCAGCUACGAGCAUCACUCGCACCGCGGCACACCGUGUUCCGUCGUCGGUGUGGUCUUGUGGGCCUGGACUACUGCGGGAUCCCGACGUCUGCUUUCGAUCGCGGCCCUCAAGAGUAGGAAGAUGAUCCAGUGUCUUCGCAUCCAUCGCAUUCCCUCGCCGGUGAAGCCUAGCUGGUGGAUUGGGCUUUCUUCCGUGCCCGGCACUA